rnacentral:lncRNA from 1 species
UUUAUAAAACAAUUUAAGGAGGCUCGAGGGUAUAAAAAUUUCAGAAAAAAAUCAAACAUUUGUUUUUCAUUACAAAUUUUAUUUAUUUCCUUUUGUAAUUGUUACUUUAUCAUAUGGUACAAAAAUCUUUCAAAACAAUCAAUUCGUGUUGGCCCCAGAUGACUUUUAAAAUGUAUACAUUAUUGAAAAAGUUCCAAAUUAUCUCCCUUUGGUGGAAAAAUGCCAUUUUUUUUGCUUUAAAAUUGAAAUAUCUUUUUCAUCUCAUCGGUGACCUAUCUUUUUUAAUAUAAUUUCCAUAUAAGCUGUACUUAAACUAAAUCAUUGUAAAAUUUGAGCGAUUUCUGUAAUAAAUUUCUUUUUUUAUUUCGAUAUUUACCUUUAUUUCUCCUAUUACUUCAACAGAAAAAAAAAACACCUUUACAAAAAUGUAUGCUUCUUUCGAAGGCAGAUUGUGAGCGCAAAUGAACGGUGACCCCACUUUUUUAUUUUAUUUUUCUAUUAACUAUAAGAUAAAGUUCAUUUAUAGAAAAAUAUAGAGAAAUCCUAUAUAAAUGAUUUAGACCCGCGAACCCCCUUAAUUAGAUUAUU